rnacentral:rRNA from 1 species
GACGAACGCUGGCGGCGUGCUUAACACAUGCAAGUCGUACGGUAAGGCCCUUUCGGGGGUACACGAGUGGCGAACGGGUGAGUAACACGUGAUUAACCUGCCCACAACUUUGGGAUAACGCUAGGAAACUGGUGCUAAUACUGGAUAUGUGCUCCUGCUGCAUGUUGGGGGUUGGAAAGCUCCGGCGGUUGUGGAUGGACUCGCGGCCUAUCAGCUUGUUGGUGGGGUAGUGGCCUACCAAGGCGGCGACGGGUAGCCGGCCUGAGAGGGUGACCGGCCACAUUGGGACUGAGAUACGGCCCAGACUCCUACGGGAGGCAGAAGUGGGGAAUAUUGCACAAUGGGAGCAAGCCUGAUGCAGCAACGCCGCGUGCGGGAUGACGGCCUUCGGGUUGGAAACCGCUUUCAGCAGGGACGAAGCUUUUUGUGACGGUACCUGCAGAAGAAGCACCGGCUAACUACGUG